rnacentral:rRNA from 1 species
CCUACGGGAGGCAGCAGUGGGGAAUAUUGGACAAUGGGGGGAACCCUGAUCCAGCCAUGCCGCGUGUGUGAAGAAGGCCCUCGGGUUGUAAAGCACUUUCAGUGAGGAAGAACGCCUGGUGGUUAAUACCCAUCAGGAAAGACAUCACUCACAGAAGAAGCACCGGCUAACUCCGUGCCAGCAGCCGCGGUAAUACGGAGGGUGCGAGCGUUAAUCGGAAUUACUGGGCGUAAAGCGCGCGUAGGUGGCUUGAUAAGCCGGUUGUGAAAGCCCCGGGCUCAACCUGGGAACGGCAUCCGGAACUGUCGAGCUAGAGUGUAGGAGAGGAAGGUGGAAUUCCCGGUGUAGCGGUGAAAUGCGUAGAGAGCGGGAGGAAGACCAGUGGCGAAGGCGGCCUCCUGGACUAACACUGACACUGAGGUGCGAAAUCGUGGGUAGCAAACAGGAUUAGAUACCCUAGUAGUC